CCGAGUUCAUGCCCUCACGGGUAGAUCUCCCACCCUAUGUUUUAUUACCUUUGUUGCUUUGGCAGGCCGCCAGGCUUCGGCCAGGCUACCGGCUCCGGCUGGUAAGCGCCUGCCAGAGGAUCUUAAAACUCUGAAUAUUAGUGUUGUCUGAGUACUAUAAAAUAGUUA
rnacentral:misc_RNA from 1 species